GGUUACGGCCAUACUACCCUGAACCCGCCCGAUCUCGUCUGAUCUCGGGAGCUAUGCAGGGUCAGGCCUGGUUAGUACUUGUAUGGGAGACCACCUGGGAAUACCAGGUGCUGUAAGCU
rnacentral:rRNA from 1 species